UACGAAGGGGGCUAGCGUUGCUCGGAAUCACUGGGCGUAAAGCGCACGUAGGCGGCUUUCUAAGUCAGGGGUGAAAUCCUGGAGCUCAACUCCAGAACUGCCUUUGAUACUGGAGAGCUUGAGUCCGGAAGAGGUGAGUGGAACUCCGAGUGUAGAGGUGAAAUUCGUAGAUAUUCGGAAGAACACCAGUGGCGAAGGCGGC
rnacentral:rRNA from 1 species